rnacentral:misc_RNA from 1 species
ACAAACUUGGUCAUUUAGAGGAAGUAAAAGUCGUAACAAGGUAACCGUAGGUGAACCUGCGGUUGGAUCAUUACCAAAUUAUUCGAGUUUUAUGAAGUGGGUAAAACCACUGCAAUAAACUCUAUCUACACCAUGUGAACCAUGAUUUUGUUUUUAGGCUGCAGGUGGAAGGGGUUUAUACUCCCCUGACAUUUGCGCAUGGCCUAAUGAAUCUAUACACUUGAUAUUUUUUGAACUGAAUUAUUCCGAAAGGAAAAAACUUAAUGAGAGACAACUUUUGACAACGGAUCUCUUGGCUCUCGCAUCGAUGAAGAACGCAGC